rnacentral:lncRNA from 1 species
GGAAGGCCAAUGGUAAAGAUAUAGCCUCAGUUGCAGUUGGUGGCCUAGGACUUAAGGGGUAGUAUAAAGGAGUUGAAGCUUGACACCAUGAAGAGAGCCUAUGAGAGGCUAUGGGUGAAGCCUAGCUGCAGCAGACCCCAGUGUAUAAGACAUGACAAUACCAUGGGAUGAUCACCAAAAACAGCAGCAGCAGUGGAGUGGGUCAACCUAGCUUAGAAUGCCAGAGAGAGCAGAGAUGGAGAAGUGAUGCCAGGUGUGGUAGUGGUGCAAGGGAGAGAGGGUGGACCUGGGAGGGAUAGGAAUCAACUGUGAUCAGGGUACAUUGUAUGAAAUUUCCAAAUAACUAACAAAAAUAUUAUGUGUGUGUGUGUUUGGUGGGGGUGGGGGGUAGGGAUGGGGAGGUGUCUCUCCCUUGGCUUGUAGCUCUGGUGGGCUGGAGGGACUGGCUAGCAAGGCCCAGGGAUCUUUUUGUCUCUGCCUCCCCAGCACUGGCGUCACACUUGUAUGCCAUCAUUUUCUCUUUUGAGAUAGGGUGGAGCUACACACCUAUCUCUGUCUCCUGAGUGCUGGGAUUAAAGGUGUGCCCAGUUGUGCCUGAUUUUUUUUUUUUUAAUGUGGGCAUGGGGACUGAACUCAAGUCUCCAUGUUUGCAUAGCAUUUUACCCACUGAACCAUCCCUCUAGCUCCUAUUAACUUUUCUAUUCCUUCUUAAGCCUCAAUAAGCAAAUAAAUGCAAAAACCAACCAGCCAACCAACCAUAGGAACUCAACAAGUACUAUUGGCAAAUUAACCAAGGUCCUCUUUUUUACUCUGCCAUUUACUUUCAUUAUGUCUCUAGGUCAGAUUUAGGUCCGUAAGUUCCCAUGGGCUGCCUCAAUGUUAAUAUGGGUUGAACUGGCUCUCUGUAUAACCCUUGGUUUCUUGGCUGGCUAGUUAACAGAAACAUUUGGUCAUCAGGUCAUGGGCUCUGCCCUCUGAAGAACUGCAGUUAUGAGAGAUUCUAUUCCCAUUGGCCUUGGUCCAAUAUAGUCCUGUGUUACCUAUCCUAUCUCUGGGAGUCCAGGAACUCCCUGAGUAGAUGCUGAAUGCAAAGAAAGGUUGUGUGUCCAUCUGUGCUGACUUAGGUGUUUCCCAUCCUUAAGUGGUGCCCCUUAGAAAGUAAAUGCUGGUAAUAAAGAGGAGCCUCACAGUCAACUGCUAAGCAAGAGGGGAAACGCCACCGAGUACCUGAAGUGCUAUGAACGUUGGUAAAGGAGUUGUCAGAGGCACUGUAGGGCCAGGCACCAGGUGAAGGCAGCGAGGUGUUGAGGGAGGAAUUAGACCCUUAUAACAAAAGAGGAAGAGGAAGAAAAUAUUAGAGACAAAUGUCAAUAUAACCAGGGAAACUUUGUAAGUUUUUUUUUUUUUUUUUUCCCGAGACAGGGUUUCCCUGUGUAGCCCUGGCUGUCCUGGAAAUCACUUUGUAGACUAGGCUGGCCUCGAACUCAGAAAUCCACCUGCCUCUGCCUCCUAAGUGCUAGGAUUAAAGGUGUGUGUCACCAUGCCCGGCAAGUAUUUUUAUUUAAACUCAAAUGGAAGGAAAAACAAAAUGUAACCAAACAAUACACAUAUAUAAAAAAAAAACAUGCUUCUAUUUUCUGCUUAAAUUAUCAGGUACUACAAAUAGAAACAAGGCCACAGGCGAAUAACUAUGAAAAUGCUGGGUAGUAUUCAUGCAGCCUGCAGCCCUCACUUACCUGUGGUGUUAUCCCGCAGCAGUUGGUGGUCAGUAUCUACAAUGGGAGAUGUGGUUGUACCCCCUAGCACACUUCCUGGGGUGACAUAGGGGUCAGAUUCAGGGUCAAUAUUUUGGAUACCUUUCCAUGGCACUCCUGGUUGGAAUUCUGUGAUAAGAAGAAAUGAUAGGGAUAGGAGAGUGUUAAAAACAACUUAAACAUUUCCUAUUUUAUUAUUAUGUUAAAAUAACUGUUUAGUAGGAAAAAAAAAACCAUGGUCCCAUGAAAAGUUUAAACAAUGAAAUCUACUAUGCAUCAGAUUUUCAUCACGAAAUAAAAUUUACCAUGAACAAACACUCUUGUCAGUAGCCUGUCUAUUAGCAUACUGUCUGUUCAUUUACUUGUAUGUGUGCACUGGAUCAUACAUUGCUCCAUACAUGAUAUUAGAGGAAGCCAGGUUGUAAGGAAAAGUAGGUAUGGCCUAAGGAAGCAAGGCCAUAAUAAAAUGAAAUAUAAUAAGUGACCAUUAUUUCUCAGUCUGUCUGGGGAUAGUUGGGAAUAAUUUAACUGCUCGUGAGAAAACCUAGACUAUAUAUGAAGGCUUAUCCUGUGUUUACUGAUUGGUUGAAGCUAUAUUUAAAGCUACAUGUAAUAUUAACCUCUAAUUGUGUUGAGAAGAUUGUAUUAUAUGUAUAAUUGUAUUAUAUGAACAAGAGGCAUUAUUUCAUUUCACUCUAAUAAAAUGUAGUUAUAUACAUUUAUGUCAGAAUUAUAUGUGAAGAGAAGGAUAAUUACUGACUUUUAUUAAAUUUUCUAUAAUGAAAACAGAAUACAGAGACAGAGGGAGGGGACAGAGGAAGGAGAGAGCAAGGAAGGGAGAACGAGAGAGAGAUGAAUCUUACCAAACUCAUCACUGUACCUGGGGAGAUAGAUAAACGACAGAUCUGACUAAUGAGCGUGUCAAUCAAUUCAAUGCCACUUUAAAAGAGCUAAUCUUCCAAGGAACUCUACAUACAGGAUAAAUGCCAAAGCCUAGCUACAAGGCCACCUCCUUUCUCCUUAACUCCCAUUUCUUGAAGAACUUUACUUUUCUCGUGGCACACGUUUCAAGGUUCAGGCCUUACCUUUAUCAGACAAUAACUACUAAAUGCAGAAAAGAAAGCAUGGGCCUUCCUCAGUACAGUGAGCUGUACAAGAGGUGUGUUCAGAGCCUGAAUGUCAUUGAACUAUUCUAGGAAAGGCAGUUUAUGAACAAUACCUGGAGGCCAACUGGCAUUGCUGGAUUUACUUCCGAUUUUAUUAGUCGGUGGAGAUUUGGCAGGUAACCAGCUAUCACCAGCAGGACCCGUAUGGCCACCCAGUGUGUCACCUGGGAUUAUAUCAAACUGGUUGUAUGGUGAACCUCCUCGGGUCUUACCAGGGGCCACUAUAGCGCCUG